AAGAGAAUGAAGGUCUGAAAGGAGCCGCUAACUCCUCUUCAAAGCGGUUAAAUUCCGUUUUUCUCUUA
rnacentral:tRNA from 1 species